rnacentral:lncRNA from 1 species
UGAAAAGUGCACAUCAGUUUAAGUAAAUGCUCAAUUUUAUUCUAUACACAUACUUUGCUUUUUUGUAAUCCGUAUUUAUUCAAAGUAUUUACUGCUGCUUUUCUCCAUUUCACAGAAACAAACCAACAGGACUUCAUAUGAAAUCAUUGACCACCACGUGCUCCUUCCACCUCCAUUAACUCCUAAUUCUAGGCACAUGAGAGCCAAAGGAAACCACAGAGCCACAGGCACUCACUCACAGCCCUGAAGCAGCUGCUCACAAAGGCAGUGUCGCAGGGCGAGUGUCAGUCUGCCUGGCAAUCUCCUACAACUGAGGGGAAAUAAGAUACCAGAAUGGAUAAGCAGAAGUAACUGAGACUCUCCUGUCUGCCUGGACCUUCAGAGGCUGACUUCAGCUGAAGCACCAAGAGACAUCUUAUGGCUGAAUUCACACAUGAAAAACAUGACUCGGGACAUGGCUGUGAAAUGUUAACCAACCAAGGAUAUUAUUUGAAAAGAAAAAAAGUUAUUCAGCAAAAUGGAAAAAGUAAAGAAAGGAAAUGGCAUUGGAUAUUGAGAGGCAGCAUGAGCUAAGCGUGGCACAGCAGAAGAUAAGUGAUCAGAAAGAAGACUUGUUGACUUCAGACUUGGAACAUUCUUCUUUGAAUGGUAAUUUUUGAAGAACAUCACAUUAUAUUUCUUUCCCUAUAGAUCCAGUCCCACAACUUGAUUCUACAUUGGAUACUUGUUCACAUGGUCUUAGAUUUUAAAUGCUGUUUAAUGGUCUUUCAUUUUAGGAAACCUAUAAAUAAAGCAUAGAAGAGAAGUAUAACUACA